CGAACGGGUGAGUAACACGUAAGCAACCUACCCUAAAGACGAGGAUAACCAUUGGAAACAGUGGCUAAGACUGGAUAGGAAGAUAAAAGGCAUCUUGUAUCUUUUAAAAGACCUAGUUAAUAGGUAUGCUUUAGGAGGGGCUUGCGCCAUAUUAGUUAGUUGGUAGGGUAAUGGCCUACCAAGACGAUGAUGUGUAGCUGGACUGAGAGGUUGAACAGCCACAUUGGGACUGAGACACGGCCCAAACUCCUACGGGAGGCAGCAGUAGGGAAUUUUCGGCAAUGGAGGAAACUCUGACCGAGCAACGCCGCGUGAAUGACGAAGUACUUCGGUAUGUAAAGUUCUUUUAUCGAGGAAGAAAAGCAAAUGGCGAACCAUUUGUUUGCCGGUACUUGAUGAAUAAGCCCCGGCUAAUUAUGUGCCAGCAGCCGCGGUAAGACAUAAGGGGCAAGUGUUAUCCGGAAUUAUUGGGCGUAAAGGGUGCGUAGGCGGUCUAGUAAGUCAGUGGUGUAAUGGCAACGCUUAACGUUGUCCGGCUAUUGAAACUGCUAAACUUGAGUUAGAUAGAGGCGAGUGGAAUUCCAUGUGUAGCGGUAAAAUGCGUAAAUAUAUGGAGGAACACCAGAGGCGUAGGCGGCUCGCUGGGUCUUAACUGACGCUGAGGCACGAAAGCGUGGGGAGCAAACAGGAUUAGAUACCCUGGUAGGUCCACGCCGUAAACGAUGAGUACUAAGUGUCGGGUUAAACCGGUACUGAAGUUAACACAUUAAGUACUCCGCCUGAGUAGUACGUACGCAAGUAUGAAACUUAAAGGAAUUGACGGGACUCCGCACAAGCGGUGGAUCAUGUUGUUUAAUUCGAAGAUACCCGAAAAACCUUACCAGGUCUUGACAUGUUUUUGCAAAAUGAUAGUAAUAUCGUGGAGGUUACCAGAAACACAGGUGGUGCAUGGUUGUCGUCAGCUCGUGUCGUGAGAUGUUAGGUUAAGUCCUAAAACGAGCGAAACCCUUAUCGUUAGUUGCCAGCACGUUAUGGUGGGGACUUUAACGAGACUGCCAAUGAUAAAUUGGAGGAAGGUGAGGAUCACGUCAAAUCAGCAUGCCCCUUAUGACCUGGGCUACAAACGUGAUACAAUGGCUGUUACAAAGGGUAGCUGAAACGCAAGUUCUUGGCCAAUCCCCAAAAACAGUCCCAGUCCGGAUUGAAGUCUGCAACUCGACUUCAUGAAGUUGGAAUCGCUAGUAAUCGCGAAUCAGCAUGUCGCGGUGAAUACGUUCUCGGGGUUUGUACACACCGCCCGUCAAACCACGAAAGUUGGCAAUACCCCAAAACGGUAGCCUAACUCGUUUAUUCGAGAGGGCGCCGUCUAAGGUAGGGUCGAUGAUUGGGGUUAAGUCGUAACAAGGUAUCCCUACCGGAAGGUGGGGAUGGAU
rnacentral:rRNA from 1 species